rnacentral:rRNA from 1 species
CCUACGGGGGGCUGCAGUGGGGAAUAUUGCACAAUGGGGGAAACCCUGAUGCAGCAACGCCUCGUGAGCGAAGAAGGCCUUCGGGUCGUAAAGCUCUGUCCUAAGGGAAGAAGCAUGACGGUACCUUAGGAGGAAGCCCCGGCUAACUACGUGGCAGCAGCCGCGGUAAUACGAAGGGGGCGAGCGUUAUCCGGAAUCACUGGGCGUAAAGGGUGCGUAGGCGGCCAUUUAGGCCAGGGGUGAAAGGCUACGGCUCAACCGUAGUAAACCUUUGGAACUGAAUGGCUUGAGUGCAGGAGAGGAGAAUGGAGUUCAUGGUGGAGCGGUGAAAUGGGUAGAUAUUAGGAGGAACACCAGUGGCGAAGGCGACUCUCUGGACUGUAUCUGACGCUGAGGCACGAAAGCGUUGGUAGCAAACAGGAUUUGAUACCCUUGUAGUC